rnacentral:lncRNA from 1 species
AUCCACCUCAGGGGUAUCCACCUCAGGGAUAUCCUCCAGCAGGAUAUCCACAGCAAGGUUAUCCUCCACCGCAGUACGCCCAGCCUCCUCCUCAACAGCAGCAACAGAGCGGUAGCAACGUCGGAUGCUUGGAAGGAUGGUGAGUUCUUUCUCCCUUUUUCUGUCUGUUUUCUUCUUCUUCUGUAUUAGCGCGUGAAGCGCAUGUUAGUCGAUUUGGCGCAGGUUAAUUGGUUGUCAAUUUGUCACUAGCGGUAGUGUGUGUAGUCAAACAUCUCUUUAUUGUUGAUUAAAUUAUUCAUUUUUUUUAGAAAAAGAAAGAAAGAAAGAAUGCAUUGUUUAGAUUUAAUGAUUCGUUAAUUAAGAAAUAAUGAUGUCAUAGAAUAUAUGCGAUAAUGAUUCAUGCAUGGUGGGAAAAUUGGAAGACGCUUUUUUUUUAAUCUGAUAUUGAUUUUAUUGUUAUUUAUUUAUUUAUUCUCCCAAUUGAUAAUUGAUAUUACUCCAAUUACUUUGCUGAUUUGCUCUCCAUUUAAAUAAAUAGUGUGACACUGAAUCUAGUUGUUAAUAGUUUGAUAUGGUAAUUUAUGGAUGAUGUUGCACUGAUUUUUUCAAAGUGGGGGAGAAGUUGAAAGUCAAAUUUAGACAUGUAUUGUUUUGAUACAAAAUGUUUAUUAGCUGUAUUAGUCAAAUUCUGCUUUCAUCAUAAUAAUUAAGAAUCCACCACUCCAUCUAAUAUACUAUAUAACUAUUGUCAACAUACUAUUUUCCUAUUAUCAAUUAGGCUGUCUUUUUCUGAUUAUAGGAGAAGAAUUCUCUCCAUUGCCAAGUCAGAGUACUGAGUGAUAAAGGGUGAAUUCAUGGGUUAUUACUUAUUAUUAGAAUCUGCGCAAUAUAUUAGUAAAUUUAUAUAUGUUUGUGUUUCAUUUGAUUAUUAAUCUAUCUGUAUCUUCCAUUCCGUAUAAGAUCUUAAUUUUUUUUUCUGUUCUCUUUGAUAAUAGUUUG